rnacentral:rRNA from 1 species
UACGUAGGGGGCAAGCGUUGUCCGGAUUUAUUGGGCGUAAAGAGCGUGUAGGCGGUUCGGUAGGUCCGUUGUGAAAACUCGAGCUCAACCUCGAGACGCCGAUGGAAACCCCCGAACUAGAGUCCGGAAGAGGAGAGUGGAAUUCCUGGUGUAGCGGUGGAAUGCGCAGAUAUCAGGAGGAACACCAAUAGCGAAGGCAGCUCGCUGGGACGUUACUGACACUGAGGCGCGAAAGCGUGGGGAGCAAACAGG